GUACCCUUAGCUCAGUUGGUUAGAGCAGACGGCUCAUAACCGUCCGGUCGUAGGUUCGAGUCUUACAGGGUACA
rnacentral:tRNA from 4 species